rnacentral:rRNA from 1 species
GCGCUUCUUGGAUAGGCCAGGAAGCAUGCCUCUUUGAGCAUCGUUUUCACACCAAAGCUCGACGGCUUUUUUGUAAUGAAAGAGCGUCUGUCGGAUAAUGAGUGAAUCAAAUCUCUUUCGAAAGAAAGGGUCACUUUAAAUAGCUUUGAUUGAACUCUCGUAUCGUUUUAACGAAGUGAAACGUGUCGGAGAUGACUAAAUAUGGAUAAUCUUUAUUUAUGUUCAGUCGUUUCUAUAUGCACGUAUCGUCUUCUAGAUCGAAGGUUAAUACCAAUCAGUGGAAAUUACACAUAAAGUGCGGUCUUCGGACCAACCUUUUUGAAUUAGAUCUCAAAUGAAGCAAGACUACCCGCUGAACUUAAGCAUAUUAUUAAGCGGAGGAAAAGAAACUAACAAGGAUGCCCUCAGUAACGGCGAGUGAAGCGGGCGAAGCUCAACCUGAAAAUCGGUCACUCAAGCGGGUGUAUCGAAUUGUGGGCUACAGACGCGUGAUCAGUGUGUGACCUAGGUAUAAAUCUUUUGAAACAAGGUAUCAUAGAGGGUGAGAAUCCCGUCUUUGACCUAGAGUCUCGCCACGUACGAUCCGUGUUCACAGAGUCGAGUUGUUUGGGAUUGCAGC